GGUUAAGCGACUAAGCGUACACGGUGGAUGCCCUGGCAGUCAGAGGCGAUGAAGGACGUGCUAAUCUGCGAUAAGCGUCGGUAAGGUGAUAUGAACCGUUAUAACCGGCGAUUUCCGAAUGGGGAAACCCAGUGUGUUUCGACACACUAUCAUUAACUGAAUCCAUAGGUUAAUGAGGCGAACCGGGGGAACUGAAACAUCUAAGUACCCCGAGGAAAAGAAAUCAACCGAGAUUCCCCCAGUAGCGGCGAGCGAACGGGGAGCAGCCCAGAGCCUGAAUCAGUGUGUGUGUUAGUGGAAGCGUCUGGAAAGGCGCGCGAUACAGGGUGACAGCCCCGUACACAAAAAUGCACAUGCUGUGAGCUCGAUGAGUAGGGCGGGACACGUGGUAUCCUGUCUGAAUAUGGGGGGACCAUCCUCCAAGGCUAAAUACUCCUGACUGACCGAUAGUGAACCAGUACCGUGAGGGAAAGGCGAAAAGAACCCCGGCGAGGGGAGUGAAAAAGAACCUGAAACCGUGUACGUACAAGCAGUGGGAGCACGCUUAGGCGUGUGACUGCGUACCUUUUGUAUAAUGGGUCAGCGACUUAUAUUCUGUAGCAAGGUUAACCGAAUAGGGGAGCCGAAGGGAAACCGAGUCUUAACUGGGCGUUAAGUUGCAGGGUAUAGACCCGAAACCCGGUGAUCUAGCCAUGGGCAGGUUGAAGGUUGGGUAACACUAACUGGAGGACCGAACCGACUAAUGUUGAAAAAUUAGCGGAUGACUUGUGGCUGGGGGUGAAAGGCCAAUCAAACCGGGAGAUAGCUGGUUCUCCCCGAAAGCUAUUUAGGUAGCGCCUCGUGAAUUCAUCUCCGGGGGUAGAGCACUGUUUCGGCAAGGGGGUCAUCCCGACUUACCAACCCGAUGCAAACUGCGAAUACCGGAGAAUGUUAUCACGGGAGACACACGGCGGGUGCUAACGUCCGUCGUGAAGAGGGAAACAACCCAGACCGCCAGCUAAGGUCCCAAAGUCAUGGUUAAGUGGGAAACGAUGUGGGAAGGCCCAGACAGCCAGGAUGUUGGCUUAGAAGCAGCCAUCAUUUAAAGAAAGCGUAAUAGCUCACUGGUCGAGUCGGCCUGCGCGGAAGAUGUAACGGGGCUAAACCAUGCACCGAAGCUGCGGCAGCGACGCUGAUGCGUUGUUGGGUAGGGGAGCGUUCUGUAAGCCUGCGAAGGUGUGCUGUGAGGCAUGCUGGAGGUAUCAGAAGUGCGAAUGCUGACAUAAGUAACGAUAAAGCGGGUGAAAAGCCCGCUCGCCGGAAGACCAAGGGUUCCUGUCCAACGUUAAUCGGGGCAGGGUGAGUCGACCCCUAAGGCGAGGCCGAAAGGCGUAGUCGAUGGGAAACAGGUUAAUAUUCCUGUACUUGGUGUUACUGCGAAGGGGGGACGGAGAAGGCUAUGUUGGCCGGGCGACGGUUGUCCCGGUUUAAGCGUGUAGGCUGGUUUUCCAGGCAAAUCCGGAAAAUCAAGGCUGAGGCGUGAUGACGAGGCACUACGGUGCUGAAGCAACAAAUGCCCUGCUUCCAGGAAAAGCCUCUAAGCAUCAGGUAACAUCAAAUCGUACCCCAAACCGACACAGGUGGUCAGGUAGAGAAUACCAAGGCGCUUGAGAGAACUCGGGUGAAGGAACUAGGCAAAAUGGUGCCGUAACUUCGGGAGAAGGCACGCUGAUAUGUAGGUGAAGUCCCUCGCGGAUGGAGCUGAAAUCAGUCGAAGAUACCAGCUGGCUGCAACUGUUUAUUAAAAACACAGCACUGUGCAAACACGAAAGUGGACGUAUACGGUGUGACGCCUGCCCGGUGCCGGAAGGUUAAUUGAUGGGGUUAGCGCAAGCGAAGCUCUUGAUCGAAGCCCCGGUAAACGGCGGCCGUAACUAUAACGGUCCUAAGGUAGCGAAAUUCCUUGUCGGGUAAGUUCCGACCUGCACGAAUGGCGUAAUGAUGGCCAGGCUGUCUCCACCCGAGACUCAGUGAAAUUGAACUCGCUGUGAAGAUGCAGUGUACCCGCGGCAAGACGGAAAGACCCCGUGAACCUUUACUAUAGCUUGACACUGAACAUUGAGCCUUGAUGUGUAGGAUAGGUGGGAGGCUUUGAAGUGUGGACGCCAGUCUGCAUGGAGCCGACCUUGAAAUACCACCCUUUAAUGUUUGAUGUUCUAACGUUGACCCGUGAUCCGGGUUGCGGACAGUGUCUGGUGGGUAGUUUGACUGGGGCGGUCUCCUCCUAAAGAGUAACGGAGGAGCACGAAGGUUGGCUAAUCCUGGUCGGACAUCAGGAGGUUAGUGCAAUGGCAUAAGCCAGCUUGACUGCGAGCGUGACGGCGCGAGCAGGUGCGAAAGCAGGUCAUAGUGAUCCGGUGGUUCUGAAUGGAAGGGCCAUCGCUCAACGGAUAAAAGGUACUCCGGGGAUAACAGGCUGAUACCGCCCAAGAGUUCAUAUCGACGGCGGUGUUUGGCACCUCGAUGUCGGCUCAUCACAUCCUGGGGCUGAAGUAGGUCCCAAGGGUAUGGCUGUUCGCCAUUUAAAGUGGUACGCGAGCUGGGUUUAGAACGUCGUGAGACAGUUCGGUCCCUAUCUGCCGUGGGCGCUGGAGAACUGAGGGGGGCUGCUCCUAGUACGAGAGGACCGGAGUGGACGCAUCACUGGUGUUCGGGUUGUCAUGCCAAUGGCACUGCCCGGUAGCUAAAUGCGGAAGAGAUAAGUGCUGAAAGCAUCUAAGCACGAAACUUGCCCCGAGAUGAGUUCUCCCUGACUCCUUGAGAGUCCUGAAGGAACGUUGAAGACGACGACGUUGAUAGGCUGGGUGUGUAAGCGCAGCGAUGCGUUGAGCUAACCGGUACUAAUGAACCGUGAGGCUUAACCUU
rnacentral:rRNA from 1 species